GGAAUAUUCCGUUUAAAAUACGUUCUCUUGAGUGUAGAAAGCAAAACAUAGCAACAUAUUUAUUUAUUUAAUUUCUAAAGGGUUUUCGGAGAUCUGGCUUUGCUCGGUCAUCAUGUCUUUAGAAACAAAACAGCAAAGCCAAGGUCACUUCUAUGUCUAGUUUAUGGAAAGGACAAAGCCUCCCCACUCUGUAACGCUGAGGUGCCACGCAGGCAGAUGUGGGGUUCAGACCGGGUGACCCUGAAAUGCCUCUAUUCCAGUGCUUGCUUUUAUAAAGGCAUUUUGAGAAGGUGCUUCUUUUUGCCACCAAAAAUAAUAAGAUUAAGAAUAGCCAAAACCCUGGGAAAACAGGAGAUUGAUUUAUAAAGCUGGGGAGGAAAAAGUCUGAACUGGAUUUCACGCUGGUGGAGAGAAGGUGAAUCUUUCACGUUCUGAGAGAAGAAAAUGCCUCGUUGAAGUAUCUUGUUAACUGUAGGGUUGUUCUAUUUGCCAAACACAAUGUUCAUGCACGCUUUUUAACCACAUCUCUGCAAACUGAAUGGUGAUAACGGCAUUCCUUCGUAAGGAAGAGGUUUAAAGGAUGCUCUAAUUGGCAUCAGCAGAGGGGGAGCUGCUGUAUCCUCAAAUGGGAUAAGUAAUGCUGGGUGAUAGUUUGGCUGUUUCCUGCCGAGGUCUGGAAGAAAUCCACAGGACUGCUGAUGAUUUUGGUUGAGAACUUGAACCCGCUGUUGAAGACUCAGUCGUUCCUUCACCGGAACGCGCCGUCACGCUUUUCCCUUGCUUUGCCUCCCAUUCCCGAGGGAACACCACGCUCCAUCGCCUGCGUGCUCUCCCUUGGUGCAGCCUUGGAGCUGCAGCGUGAAGUGAACAGGAUUUUGUUGUUUACUGGAGCUUUUACUCACCAGUUUGCACCCUUAGCCCAGCGCAGACGUUGUGCAGACCGUGGCCAAACGCUGGUUGACUCCCUACAUCCAUGGUGCAAGCGUUUAGUUGUAGCUUUCAGGUCGUUCGUGUAGACUUGUCCUCUCAAUAGACUCUGGAAGGCAUUUGCAGCUCAGGAAAGGAUCAUGCUAAAGGCAAUGUUGUGGGCAAAUUACCUUCUCUGGUCACCACCCUGGUCUUGGAGAUACCUGUUGAAACGGAGUAGUAGGGCUGGAAUGUUGGAUUUUGGCCUUUCUUCUGAAGAAAACCCCUUGUUGUAUCUUUAAUUUCAGGAUAGAAUGGGAAAGACACCAUUCCUACACGUGAUGAACAGCAUACAAUCUGUAUAUAUUGAAACUUUACAGAACUCUGUGGGUUGGGUGGGGAGGAGGGCGGGAGGGGGGUGUCCAGCGCUGGUACGAAGUAGUCACUUUAACAUUGAAACCUCUGCCUCAUUGAAUUCAGGGUUUAAUGUACUUGAAGCUCUGCGGUUCCUUAUACAGCUUCUUUUAUUUUUUGUUGUUGUUCCUUUUAUUUAUACAUCCUUCUUUUUGUAUGCUCCAUUGAAAAUGUCUUUUGACUUCCCUCAAGUUCCUUCCUGCUCCCGCUGGACAGCGAAUCUGUGGCACACGGAAGGGGGAGUUUGCAGGCUCGAGAGGCGGCAACGUGGGGUGAUGCCGUUCAGCUUUCGGGUUUCCCUCGGCUUUCCCCUGCCAUUUACCUUUGUGUAGCAAAACCCAUUUGCACUUACGAUGCACUCCUCCACGUUGGAUGUAUUCACAAUGGUCUGAGUAUAAAAAAGGUAAAAAAACCCUAAAAAAAGGUGUUUUCUGUUACGUUCUAUUCCUGAGUGUCGAGCUCAGGUUUUAUUACCCCGUGAGGGGCUGUCUCGCUGCGCUGUGGGGAGAGGGACGCGGAACCUCUGUGCUUUGCACAGCAGACUUGGUGUGGUUCAUGUGAACUCCAAAAGGGAAAUCAUGUUGGAAUUUGCCAAAGCCAUCCUCUCCUUCACCGGCUCUGCUGUGGUUCUGGCUCCCGGUUACCAACCGGCGAUAGGGAACCAUUCCCGAUCCACCACCCCGUGUAUCAUUCCCGCUGUCGCUUUUCCUUCUCCAUCCAAGGGUCUGUCGGGCGCGGGGCUGCUGUCGGGAUCCGACCCCGUUUGCACAACACAGGUACGUGCAGAUCCCGUUUCCAUGCCCGUGCGCUCUCGAGCGGACCGGUGAGGAUGCCCCUUUGUAGAGUCGUUCUUUCUGUAGACCUCGUUUAAUCUGUCCCAAUCUUUGUAGAUCCUGUGAAAUGUUCUUUUAACGAAAUCACUCGAGUCUUUAAUAGCAAAAGCAUCAAUAUUCACUGAAGUCGGUAUCUUAAAAAGAGUUCUUGGGAGUCGACUAGAAGCUCUUGACACUAACGGAGUAGUGUUAACUUUCCCUGGCGAUGUUCCACUGGGGCAUUAACUGUAUUAUGACUUGAUGUUGCCGCAUAGACUUUGAGAUAUACGAUAUUUUGGGGGUUUUGUUGUUCGGCCUAUGUUCUCCUGCAUAGUGUGAAACCUGUAAAGCUUGGUUAACCCUGUACAUAGGUAGCUGACUGUCAACUAGUUAUAGCGUACCUAGAAUUGCCUGUAAUAUUUUAGCUUCUUACUGAAUGUGUGUGAUGGUAGGAACCAUAUAAUUUUUGUACAUUAUAUUUACGGAGAUGUUGCCUUUUUUUAUUUUACAAAUACUUUGGAAUUCAGAUGUGGUUUUUGCUUCCGUGAGGAUUCAUUUGGAAAGGUUUUUAAAUGACAUUCCACUGAUCUGAACUUUUGCUUGAGGUUGACUUCAAUAAAUCGUUCUGAAUGUUCCAACGACCAAAAA
ensembl:lncRNA